rnacentral:rRNA from 1 species
GAUGAACGCUGGCGGCGUGCCUAAUACAUGCAAGUCGAGCGAACGGACGAGAAGCUUGCUCCUCUGAUGUUAGCGGCGGACGGGUGAGUAACACGUGGAUCACCUACCUAUAAGACUGGGAUAACUUCGGGAAACCGGAGCUAAUACCGGCUAAUAUUUUGAACCGCAGGGUUCAAAAGUGAAAGACGGUCUUGCUGUCACUUAUAGAUGGAUCCGCGCUGGAUUAGCUAGUUGGUAAGGUAACGGCUUACCAAGGCAACGAUGCGUAGCCGACCUGAGAGGAUGAUCAGCCACACUGGAACUGAGACACGGUCCAGACUCCUACGGGAGGCAGCAGUAGGGAAUCUUGCGCAAUGGGCGAAAGCCUGAUGGAGCAACGCCGCGUGAGUGAUGAAGGUCUUCGGAUUGUAAAACUCUUUUAUUAGGGAAGAACAGAUGUGUAAGAAACCGUGCACAUCUUGACGGUACCUAAUGAGAAAGCCACGGCUAACUACGUG